rnacentral:lncRNA from 1 species
GCGAGGAUUUCAUCCGAGAUGGGGGGAUUCGACCCGAACACAGCAUCGGCGAUGGUGAUGGUGCCAGGGUUUUGGCUGCUGAGAGCACCGAUGGCGAAGGUGUUGGUGUGCCCAGGGUUGAACUGGAAGUGGAUGAGGCCUUGGGGGAACACAAACACAUCACCCUUCUUCAGCAUCUUGGUGAAGAGACGGUUGCCGUCGUCGCUGUUGGAUGUGACGAAGCCGACCAAGAGCUGUCCCUCUAUGACGGUGAGGAUCUCGGUGGCACGGGGGUGAGUGUGGGGCGGGUUGAGGCCAUUGGGGAUGUAGUCGAUGCGAACCAUGGAGAUGCCGAGGGUGUUGAGCCCUGGAAUCUGGAUCACGUUGGCAGGCGUGACAUUGAACCCGAAAUUGUUCUUUCCUGUAUCGCCGGGCAUGUCGAGGCCAGAAAGAGAGAAGUCGUCGGCUUUCACAACCAUGGGGUCCUUGCAGACGAAUCCAUUCACCCGCACUGCAACAGCAGAAGGAAGAAGCAAACUCGGUCGGUAAACAUGCAUCAGGAGAACAAACGCACCGAAGGAAAUUAAUCUGGAUACUAUGAAUACCUUUAGACAUCAUAUCUGCGACACAGAAGUCUUGAAGUUGGCUAGGAUCGGAAGCCAUUGCAAGAGAGGAAGCCAUGGCGAGGAGAACAAGGAGAAACAUUUCGGCGGCCAUCUGUAAUCUCUUAGAUGGAUGGGAUUACCUGGUGCCGUGAUACAGUGGCCUGGAAGAGACGGGUAUAUAUAGAGAAGCAGGCUCUGAAACAUUCAUGAUCAUUAGGUGAAGGAGAUGAAAAGUAUACCAUGUUAGGUUGCUUUCUUCUUGCAAUAUAUUUUCUAUAGCCGUCACCUCGUACGAGAUCCAUAUGAUGCACAGUAACCAUUAAAUUUGUUGACGUGUCUCAGUAACCUAAUCCAUGACCAUUUUAUAUGUAUAUAUAUAAUGAUGGAGCUUUUAGUUAGAUCAUGCUGUAGUGUAAAAUGGACUCUUACGUUCGACUGCAUAAUCCACCACGUGAGAUUUUUGUGACGACCUUACGCUACCAAACAAGAGGAGAAGUCAGCAAAGAUGUGGCAGCUGAACAGAACAAGCUAAGGACAGGUAGAAAGAACAAGAAGCCAAAGAUGUGAUUACCAAUUUGACCUUGUCGGGUCUUGUGUACUGCUACGGCUGAUACCGUGUAUUAUAAUUAAGGUGUUCUACGUCAUCUCCGACUAUUUUCAUCACACUGAGACGUCGCGUGCAUGUUGCAAAGAAGUAUGUAAAUACGUAAGUUCUUAAGAGAUUAUAAGUUGAUAUAAUGCUGUCCAAGAAUAGUAAGCAUGUUGAUAGUUGCCUCUACGUUAAACGCUUAUGGGAUCCUAAGUUAUUAAGAGAUCAUAAGAGAUUUUAAAAAUACUAAAUCUUCGUAUAUAGGUAUACAAGAAUAUUGUACGAUUUAGAUAAAAUCAAUUAUAUUCGUGAUAAAAAUCAAUGAGGUUAGGUGAGAUAAAAUAUUUUUUUUAAUUAAAUAUCUAAAGUAAAAUUAACAUAUCAACAUUACAUUGUUCACAUAAAAUUUAUAAUCAUAUUAUCUAUAAUACGAAAAAAAAAUUAUGUCAAAAUUUAAAAUCAAAUAAUAAUGGAUCUAAAUAAUAUUACGAUGCAUACCUUUCGUUGUUAUUUAGAAGAAUAAAUAUUAUCUGAUCUACAGGCGUAUCAUCGUCGGAUCUAAAUGAAAUACUUCUAUUUAGCCCUUAAGAUCAUAUCUAUUUAUAAACAAAAACAAAGAGUCUAAGAUAAGAUAUUAGAAGAAUUCCUCCCAUAAGGAUAUCCUUGGAAUCCUACUAUAAUAUGAAUUUUUUUUUUAUUAAUCAAUAAUCAUAAUCAGAAUUCAAUCAUAUCUAUAAUAUAUUUUACCUAAUUAAAUAUGACCACACAAUCUAACACUCAAUCAUAAAUCCACGAAUCAUAAAUCCAUAAAAAACCAGAAUUUUUGAACUCAUUUCAACCGAGUUCCCAAAAAGUUUAUUAAGUAAAUAAGAUAUUAUUAUGAAUACAAAACAUUUUAAAGUUUUAUAGAUGAUAAUUCUUUUCUAGAAGGUUCUGCCAGCGAGGAUGAAUAAAAAAAAAAGAAAAAUAUCGAUAUAAUAUUUGUAAUUUAUAUAAAUAUAAACAUUUUUCGUCCAUCCAACUCAGCGACCUCUCUGGCAAUCAGAAAGAUUUCAAUAACGAUCAAACAAAGGCUAAUCGAUUAUUUCAGUCAUCAGAUUUUGGUGGCAACGACAUGUUACCAAACACCAUAAAGAAGCUCUCAAAGUCCGACCACGAGACAAGACAAAGUUGCCAGUACGAAUCCGUCUCCGUUCUUCGACCUCGUUCCAUACUGUAUAUUACGAUCGAAGUGAACUGUGUCAUCUUCAACUAUUUCACCAUCACACUGUUUAUAUAUUAUUAUGGUCUAUUUGUGAUCACAACAUAAGAGUUCAAAUUCAUAAUUAUAUUUCAUUUUAGUAAAUGAAUAAAUUGGAGUGAUUGAUACCGCCGGUUAUAGGUGGAUGCAAUCGAGCCAUAUACUACUACUGAACUUUGUAGAUCCCAUGUCAUACAAGUCAAGACAAAAGCACUCCUUUCGGGAAUUCUUGGUGAUGACUUGUUGAAGUUAUGAUCGUGUAUACAAUAUCUCAUGUUUCAGUCAUAAUAUUUGCAUAAAUUGACUUAUUACCGGUAUAUUUUAGUAAAGUUGUCUGCAUAGAUAUAUAAAGUUCAUGAACCUGAGGGAGGAUAAACAUAAGGUGGAUAAAGAAGUAUGCAUAUAUAUAUAUAAUAUGAGAUAUUACACUUUUUGAGGAUGCUGCACUCCAUAUAAUCUAUAAUCUUCCAGGUGGGAAAUACUAUCAUAUGAUCUAAAUAUUGAAAUAUGACUCAUGGAUUUCUUUCUUAAAAAUCAAGUUUUAUUUAUUAUAUUUAAUGACGUGUUUAUAUGAAAUUUGCAACAGUACACCAAUCGUAUGUCAAUAGAGAUGACUCGAGAAUUCUGAAACAUGACACACUUCAUACGUACUUUUCAUAACAUAGAAAGGUCUCUUAAUUCCAUUACAAUAGCAAACGCAAACAGGUAGUCCACUGUUUGCUUAUUCACACCAAAACACACGAGCUAAGAGUGCAGCUUAAUUCAUUCCUCCGACUAGUUUUUCUUCGCGAACUGAGCCUGAAGCCAGUCGACAAGCUUCUUGUCCACUUGGAAAGCCUUGGCGAGGAUUUCAUCCGAGAUGGGGGGAUUCGCCCCGAACACAGCAUCGGCGAUUGUGAUGGUGCCGGGGUUUUGGCUACUGAGAGCACCGAUGGCGAAGGUGUUGGUGUACCCAGGGUUGAACUGGAAGUGGAUGAGGCCUUGAGGGAACACAAACACAUCACCCUUCUUCAGCAUCUUGGUGAAGAGGCGGUUGUCGGUGUUGGAUGUGACGAAGCCGACUAAGAGCUGUCCCUCUAUGACGGUGAGGAUCUCGGUGGCACGGGGGUGAGUGUGGGGCGGGUUGAGGCCUUUGGGGAUGUAGUCGAUGCGAACCAUGGAGAUGCCGAGGGUGUUGAGUCCUGGAAUCUGCAUCACGUUGGCAGGCGUGACAUUGAACCCGAACUUGUUUCCGGUAUCGCCAGGCAUGUCGAGGCCAGAAAGAGAGAAGUCGUCGGCUUUCACAACCAUGGGGUCCUUGCAGACGAACCCAUUCACCCGCACUGCAACAGCAGAAGGAAGAAGCAAACUCGGUCGGUAAACAUGCAUCAGGAGAACAAACGCACCGAAGGAAAUUAAUCUGGAUACUAUGAAUACCUUUAGAGUCCUUAUCUGCGACACAGAAGUCUUGAAGUUGACUAGGAUCAGAAGCCAUUGCCAGAGAGGAAGCCAUGGCGAGGAGAACAAGGAGAAACAUCUCGGUGGCCAUCUGUAAUCUCUUAGAUGGAUGGGAUUACUUGGGGCCUUGAUACAAUGGCCUGGAAGAGACGGGUAUAUAUAGAGAAGCAGGCUCUGAAACAUUCACGAUCAUUAGGUGAAGGAGAUGAAAAGUAUACCAUGUUAGGUUGCCUUCCUCUCGCGAUAAUAUUGUCUAUAGCCGUCUCCUCGUACGAGCUUCAUCUGAUGCAGGGUAACAAAUAGGUUUUUUGACGCUGUCUCAGUGAUUGCUUGAAUGCAUGCGUUCGCCGACAAAGAAAAAUAGUUCUUUAGUUUAAUGCAUCCAACCUAAUCCAUGACCACAUCGUAUACACAAUAAUGGAGCUUUUCAACCUAAUCCGAAAUCCACCGGGUGAGAUUUUGGUGACGACGUCAAGAUACCAAGCACGAUGAGAAGUUUGCAAACAUGUGGGAGAUCAGGUGAACAAGAGCAAGGUUGUGUCAAAAGAACAAGACAAUAGUGUGUCGUUGCCAAUUUGACUUCGUCUGAUGCCGUGUAUUAUGAUUCAAGGUAUUCUUUGUCAGUACAAAGUAUGUAUGUAUGUAUAGCAUGCACAUCAGUGGUGACACCUUCCUUCCUUAUUGCGAUACCCAAUAUGACUGACUUCAUAUAAUGUUAAUCUUAGUACUUGAGAGAUGAAAAGAAGGGAAAAGAAUAGAAGAGAAUAAUAUCAUAUUCAUAAAAAUUGAGAGAAUGGAAUUACAUAUAUUGGAUUUAGCACACAUCCCAACAAGAUUAACUUUUUGGGUUAAUUAGGUUACCGAUCUAUAUAAUUUUUACCCUGGCUAAGUUAAUUUAUCAUGAUCGAUUUCGACAAAUGAGUCAAAAAGAUUAAAGGAUACAGAUAUUAGUGGUAUUUUUUCACCUAAAUUAUUAGACCAACUUGAUUUAACUUGGAAAAAGACAAAAAAAAAAAGAUUUUGGAAACUGUUAUACUGCCUAAUUUUGAGUCAGUUCAAUCCUCUUGAAUCAGUUUCAAUUCUCUUGAUUGAAUUAUAGGUCAACUCUUUCUCUCUCUCUCUCUCUCAUUUGGGAAAGUGAGAUCAUUUGUAAUCAAGCAAAAUUUCUUGCUCUGAAUAAAUAAAAAAAACUAUAUAUAUCAAUAAAUCUAUACUAUUUUUUUAGUUUUUCAAUUGAACUAAAAUUCACUGUGUGAUUUUGUUAAACCAAAAAUACAUCUCUUAUGAUAGAAAUAGCAUUUGCUUCAUGUAAGGUCUUGAUUUCGUUAUUCUUCAAUUGAUGUGGGAUUUAUAUUUUGUAUCUUGUCUUAAAAUUCAUAUACUUGAUCUAAAAUUUAUGAUUUUAUUAUUAUCAUUAAUUUUCUUUAUCGAAAGAUUAGAGUACACGUUAAACUGCCUAACACGAAAUCAUAUGAUUUUGUGCAUUCAAAGUGGACCCAAAAGACAUCUCAGGAUAGAAAUAACAAUUGUUUGGAACGAAGCAAGAGACAUAUUCUAUCGCAAAAACAAUUGCAAAUAGUUAUCCACUGUUUGCUUAUUUAAAGCACAUAAUUUCAGCACGUCAUGUCAACUUGCAACAACGAAGCUUUCUAGUUGUUGUUGUCCAUCCAGAACUGAGCCUGAAGCCAGUCGAUGGUCUUCUUGUCCACCUGGAAAGCCUUGGCCAGAACAUCGUCAGAGAUGGGUGGCUUCGACCCGAACACAGCGUUAGCGAUGGUGAUCGUGCCGGGGUUUUGGCUACUAAGAGCACCGAUUGCGAUAGUGUUGCAGUUGCCGGGAUUGAACUGGAAGUGGAUGAGGCCCUCAGGGAACACAAACACAUCGCCCUUCUUCAGCAUCUUGGUGAAGAGACGGUUGUCGGUGUUGGAUGUGACGAAGCCGACCAAGAGCUGUCCUUCUAUGACGGUGAGGAUCUCGGUGGCACGGGGGUGAGUGUGGGGAGGGUUGAGGCCUUUGGGCCCGUAGUCGAUGCGAACCAUGGAGAUGCCGAGGGUGUUGAGUCCGAUGAGCUUGUUCACGUUGACGGCAGUGACCAUGGAGCCGAGCUUGUUUACCGUGUUGCCGGCUUUGUCGAGUCCCAUGAAGAAGAAGUCUUCGGCUGUCACGUGCUUGGGGUCUUUGCAGACGAAUCCAUUCACCAGCACU